rnacentral:misc_RNA from 1 species
GAUGAAGAACGUAGCGAAAUGCGAUAAGUAAUGUGAAUUGCAGAAUUCAGUGAAUCAUCGAAUCUUUGAACGCACCUUGCGCCCUUUGGCCAUUCCGAAGGGCAUGCCUGUUUGAGUAUCAUGAACACCUCAACUCUUUAUGGUUUUCCAUGAUGAGCUUGGACUCUGGGGGUUUUGCCGGCUCACAGUCGGCUCCUCUAAAAUGAAUCAGCUUACCAGUGUUUGGUGGGUAUCAUGGGUGUGAUAACUAUCUACGCUUGUGGUUUUUCCACCAGGUAACCUUCAGCAGUGGAGGUUCGCUGGAGCUCAUAGAUGUCUCUCCUCAGUGAGGACAGCCCUUUGAAUGUUUGAUCUCAAAUCAGGUAGGACUACCCGCUGAACUUAAGCAUAUCAAUAAGCGGAGGA